UACAGAGGGGGGCAAGCGUUUGUUCGGAAUUACUGGGCGUAAAGCGUGCGCAGGCGGUUAUGUAAGACAGGUGUGAAAUCCCCGGGCUCAACCUGGGAACUGCAUUUGUGACUGCAUGGCUGGAGUGCGGCAGAGGGGGAUGGAAUUCCGCGUGUAGCAGUGAAAUGCGUAGAUAUUCGCAAGAACACCAGUGGCGAAGGCGGCUCACUGGCCCGAUACUGACGCUGAGGCACGAAAGCGUGGGGAGCAAACAGG
rnacentral:rRNA from 1 species